UCAAAUGAAGAUCACAAAACAUAUCUAGUUUAUUGACAUGCUUUUAUUUCAUCAAAAAAGUCAAAUAUCUAUGACUGUAUUACUGUAUGUCUUAUAGAGUCUUCUCACUCACAGCUUGGUCGACAUAAAGGCCUAAAAAAGUCAGAAAAAAAGUUCCUUAGCGAUCAUAGAAAAAAGUAAAAAGUGACAAUAACAUCGAAAGAAAUGUUGGAAGAAGUGGCAAAAAUGCCAAAACAAGCGCCAAAAAAAACGUCGGAAAGAGUGGGAGAAAAAAACUUCAG